GAUGAACGCUAGCUACAGGCUUAACACAUGCAAGUCGAGGGGAAACGAUAGAGAAAGCUUGCUUUUUCUAGGCGUCGACCGGCGCACGGGUGAGUAACGCGUAUCCAACCUGCCCAUCACUUGGGGAUAACCUUGCGAAAGUAAGACUAAUACCCAAUGACGUCUCUAGAAGACAUCUGAAAGGGAUUAAAGAUUUAUCGGUGAUGGAUGGGGAUGCGUCUGAUUAGCUUGUUGGCGGGGUAACGGCCCACCAAGGCGACGAUCAGUAGGGGUUCUGAGAGGAAGGUCCCCCACAUUGGAACUGAGACACGGUCCAAACUCCUACGGGAGGCAGCAGUGAGGAAUAUUGGUCAAUGACGAGAGUCUGAGCCAGCCAAGUAGCGUGCAGGAUGACGGCCCUAUGGGUUGUAAACUGCUUUUAUAAGGGAAUAAAGUGAGAGUCGUGACUCUUUUUGCAUGUACCUUAUGAAUAAGGACCGGCUAAUUCCGUGCCAGCCGCCGCGGUAA
rnacentral:rRNA from 1 species